GAUGGGAGCUUGCUCCCUGAUGUUAGCGGCGGACGGGUGAGUAACACGUGGGUAACCUGCCUGUAAGACUGGGAUAACUCCGGGAAACCGGGGCUAAUACCGGAUGGUUGUUUGAACCGCAUGGUUCAAACAUAAAAGGUGGCUUCGGCUACCACUUACAGAUGGACCCGCGGCGCAUUAGCUAGUUGGUGAGGUAACGGCUCACCAAGGCAACGAUGCGUAGCCGACCUGAGAGGGUGAUCGGCCACACUGGGACUGAGACACGGCCCAGACUCCUACGGGAGGCAGCAGUAGGGAAUCUUCCGCAAUGGACGAAAGUCUGACGGAGCAACGCCGCGUGAGUGAUGAAGGUUUUCGGAUCGUAAAGCUCUGUUGUUAGGGAAGAACAAGUACCGUUCGAAUAGGGCGGUACCUUGACGGUACCUAACCAGAAAGCCACGGCUAACUACGUGCCAGCAGCCGCGGUAAUACGUAGGUGGCAAGCGUUGUCCGGAAUUAUUGGGCGUAAAGGGCUCGCAGGCGGUUUCUUAAGUCUGAUGUGAAAGCCCCCGGCUCAACCGGGGAGGGUCAUUGGAAACUGGGGAACUUGAGUGCAGAAGAGGAGAGUGGAAUUCCACGUGUAGCGGUGAAAUGCGUAGAGAUGUGGAGGAACACCAGUGGCGAAGGCGACUCUCUGGUCUGUAACUGACGCUGAGGAGCGAAAGCGUGGGGAGCGAACAGGAUUAGAUACCCUGGUAGUCCACGCCGUAAACGAUGAGUGCUAAGUGUUAGGGGGUUUCCGCCCCUUAGUGCUGCAGCUAACGCAUUAAGCACUCCGCCUGGGGAGUACGGUCGCAAGACUGAAACUCAAAGGAAUUGACGGGGGCCCGCACAAGCGGUGGA
rnacentral:rRNA from 1 species